CUGACGCCACCCGCUAUCCUGAUACCGGUCCUCUGUCCACUCGAGGCCGCGGUAGGCGUCGUCGUCGGCGUAGGUGCAAUGGCAGUGUCCUCAAUUGUGAUGCCUGAAAACAAAACGUGGACAAAUCUUUUCAUCAUUACUUCAAUCACUGGAAAUAUGUGGAAUACGAAGGAAAGCCAUAGUGUGUCAUCGGGGGAUUAACUAUGUUUCCAUUGAGAAAGACUUCGCAUCUGUGCAACAUCCUAGUACAGCGGGCGGUGUAUUGUUAUAAAGUACAUAUCCUGUACAAACACUCCUAACAAUAGGAACUUUGGAAAUUGCCUAACGAUUCGACACAGCUAGAACAUCUGCUGUUUAUAAAUGGAGUUUUUUAUUCAUUAUUAUCAAUUGCUUACCAACUUGCGGCGUGGUAGGAACGAUCACGCUCGGUCUGUUGUGGUGAUUUGGUCUUCCUGCUGACAUAUCCAACGCUUCGCUCUGAAUCGGAUCUCUCCUACGCUCCUUACGCCACGCACUGCUCGGCUUUCGAUGCAGAUUCGUUACCUUUGGCCUCUCCUCUGCAAUGCACAAAAACAUCAAAAAUAUCAUCGUGAACAUUAUAUCUCUUGAGACAAUGGAUUUCGAAGAACAAUGAUCUACGAAGAUACUCUCUAGAUCCAAACGAAGAUACUUGAAGAUUUAUAUCCAUUAUUACGAUGGAUUAUUAUUUCAUUAUAUCAGUCACGUUCAGUUAGUUCUAGUGACGAUAGCCCUUGCUCUAUUAAUGUUUUUCGUUCUAAAUCGGAUCGGAAUUCGUACUCUUUUAACGUUCUAAGCAACACAAGACAACACGUAGUCAGCAAAACUGUCUCCGUAAGUUCGAAAACAAAAUGCACAUCUUAACUUUGUUGGACUGUAAAAGGGGAUGUGGAGAACAUCAAUGUUAUUUCGAAUCGGUCACGCAGUGGGGAGAAGAGAAGAAGAGUGAUGGACACAUGGGAGCGAAUAGGCUAGCUGUAAAUAUUUUCCAAGAUUUUUUCUAUUUAGCCAAGAGAGUUUGUGUAAGCAAAACUGUACGUGUACGUGAACGAAGCAGCAAGCUUCAUCAUUAUAUGUAUUAUCAACCGAGUCUUGUUUAUGUACAACUUUCGAUAAGAAUAUAGCAUAGUUAGAAUUCUUCCCUUACGGCUAUUUACCACGCUUCGCGACGGGUCGCGUUAUCGAUUGGAAAUCGCGAGGGUC